UGUGCCAGCAGCCGCGGUAAUACAGAGGGUGCGAGCGUUAAUCGGAAUUACUGGGCGUAAAGCGAGUGUAGGUGGCUCAUUAAGUCACAUGUGAAAUCCCCGGGCUUAACCUGGGAACUGCAUGUGAUACUGGUGGUGCUAGAAUAUGUGAGAGGGAAGUAGAAUUCCAGGUGUAGCGGUGAAAUGCGUAGAGAUCUGGAGGAAUACCGAUGGCGAAGGCAGCUUCCUGGCAUAAUAUUGACACUGAGAUUCGAAAGCGUGGGUAGCAAACAGGAUUAGAUAC
rnacentral:rRNA from 1 species